GCGUCGGUCUAGUGCGGGUAUGCACAUAUUUAUCAAAGCUUCUGUUCCCCCCUCGGUACAUUGUUCCCCGCGCGCGACUAAUGCGAAAAUAUCAUCGUUGCGUGAGGGAAAACAACAACAACGCAACAAAAGAGACAUUCAAAAGUAAAAAUGGCACAUUAAAGCAUCCGAUAGGAGCGUGGCACGUAGACAUGCGAUCGGGAGGAUCCUACCAAUGAAUGGCAUCCGAAAAAGGAACUCAAUUUACGUAGGAUCAUCGCCUCAGAUGGAGUCCCGUUGAACCUGGCAAUCCCGUGCAAUCGCUCCAUUGUCCAGAAUGUGAGUCAAAACUACUUCGUGUGCGAAUGCACAGAGAGCUCUGCAGUCCCGGAUGUUUUUUCCGAUCACGAGAAGGCGUGGAACGCCUACGCUUGCAAGGAACAGCAAGGAUAAUGCACUUUUAGCAAAGGGAAAUGCUUUAUGUUAUUAUUAUGCAUACAUAUAUAAGAUUAUUGUAACACAUACUCACAUGCCAGAACGUACCUAUGAACUUACAUAAUUAAACAUAU